AUACCAUACAUUACAAAACAUUAAAAAAAAAACAACAUCCAAACAAAGGGUCACACUUUACCUUCUUCUUCAGGGUAUUAAUUUGACCCAUAAAGAGGCCUACAUAUUUUCCCAACGCACCAAAUCUCCACUCACUUUUCCUUUGUGUAGAAUUCAAACAGUACAACAACCCACUGUUCUUUAAACUUUCCAUAUGAUAGUAUUUUUUUAAACCAUUGCUCAUUUUAAGUCAAAACUGUUCAAUACAUACAAAAUUCUCUUGAUUCAUCUUUCAUGUAUUAAUAUGUAUACAUGUUCUAAAAGUUUUCUCUUCUAAAGGUCAAACCUGGGUCACAGUAAUGUGGGACGUCCAUUUACAAAUCUAUCAUAAUGUGUAAAAGAAGAGGCAUCCUGUGAUUCAUAGUCUGAAUACAAAGCAACUAAUGUUUAAUUAUCAACCAAUAAAAAUCACAAGUUUUCAGAUAUUUAUCUUCCUACUGCGACCAACCUACUAAACUGAAGACUCUGGAACAAAUUCAGAAAUCUAGGCAUUCAAUUUGCUGUCUAAUAAUUCUAGGUUAAGUGGUCUACGCACCAUCGUAAGUGGAGCAGCAGACGUCAAUGCUGGCCUUAACCCCUGUGUAUCGCUCGGAGCAGACCCAGUGAUUGUAUUUGAUGUAGAGGAAGAGGAAGUUUACACAUGACAACUAUUUAACCACACACAUCAACUGUAGAUGGUGAUAAGACAGAGUAUACCCUUCCUCUGCAGAACACUAGCAUCCUGUCCCUUCAAGUGCACUUUUCUGAUGUCUCUUUUUUUUUUAUCUUGAUUGUCACCUCAAAUGUGAUAGACAAGAAAGAGAAACAUUCGAAGAACGAUGUUGGAAUUCUUUUUGCCCUUCUCCAGAGCUGUGUUCGCGUCCCUGUUGGCCCACUUGUCAAUGGGGUCGGGGAAUGUCUUGUUGACCCUCUCGGUCACGUCCUGUACGGAGUGGGGCUGGCAGGCACACAGCGUGCCCAGCAGACUGAUGAUCAGGCUCUCUAUGUACUCUAAGGCAUCCUCUUUUGCAAUCAGUGAGGGGUGGACUUGGUGCAGAACCUGUCAAUGAAUGAUGAAGAUGGAAGAAGAAAAGAAAGCAAAGAAGAUGAAUAUUUUUUUUUCAACAUAAUAUCAAACCAAGACAAAAACAGAGUCAUCCUACUCGAUACCAACAACUUUUGUAUGUAAUUGGAAAAUAUAUGACAAACAAAAUGUAAAGAAACAGUCUGACAGUCCGAUUAGUGUAAUAUGUUUGGUUGAUACCAUAAUUCUUUUUUUUAAAUAUGUCAAUUUUGUUGACUAAAGGAAAGUAACAUUUCCUGAAUUGAACUACAAACGAGGAACCCUUUUUGAUCACAUCAUACUGAAAUAUAGAUAUCCAUAGACUGUAAAUUCUGAAGGCUUAAUAUAUAAGAUGAAUACAGUAAAUAUUAUAUUGUAUUCCAAA